CCUACGGGUGGCAGCAGUCGAGAAUCAUUCACAAUGGGGGAAACCCUGAUGGUGCGACGCCGCGUGGGGGAAUGAAGGUCUUCGGAUUGUAAACCCCUGUCAUGUGGGAGCAAAUUAAAAAGAUAGUACCACAAGAGGAAGAGACGGCUAACUCUGUGCCAGCAGCCGCGGUAAUACAGAGGUCUCAAGCGUUGUUCGGAAUCACGGGGCGUAAAGGGUGCGUAGGCUGUUUCGUAAGUCGUGUGUGAAAGGCGCGGGCUCAACCCGCGGACGGCACAUGAUACUGCGAGACUAGAGUAAUGGAGAGGGAAGCGGAAUUCUCGGUGUAGCAGUGAAAUGCGUAGAUAUCGAGAGGAACACUCGUGGCGAAGGCGGGUUCCUGGACAUUAACUGACGCUGAGGCACGAAGGCCAGGGGAGCGAAAGGGAUUAGAUACCCUAGUAGUC
rnacentral:rRNA from 1 species